CAAAAAGGUCAGUGAUUCUCAAGCAAACAGCUCCCUCCACUGGCUCAACCAUCAUCAUAUGCUCUGAAGUCUCAAGUUCCUUGAGUUCCCCUCCUACCAAGUUUGCAUAUAGACCACAGAAUGCUAGGGCUGCUUGAGAAUUUAGAAACACCGAAUUAAAAAAGGUUCUACACCCAGCAUGGAGCUGAAUGCAGUGCUUGAACUCACACCUUGAGAUAAAUACCUGCGCUGAGAUCAAGAGUUGGACACUCAACAAACUUACUGUAUUGUAUUGCAUUCUGCCUCCAACUUCACUGCCUACAUUUUCUUUGACUGGCCUUCUUUGAUCACUUCCUAUGGCAGAUUUUUAGUAUCACCCCCACUUCUCCACUUAAGUUGGAAUGUUCUUUGCAGCUGAAAUGUACACACCAGUAAUACACAUUUUGCCAGAGUUGGAAAAAAAAAUAAGAAGGUUAAAUCUUACUCUUGUAAGUCCUUCAAAGAAAGGAAAGUUGUGGUGACAAUGUUGACCUUUGCCUGAGACCUAUGCGUGGAAACCAGAAAAAGUUAAGACACACUCCCAAUCAUCUGUGUUCAGAGAAACUGAAAAAGACUACC